GACGAACGCUGGCGGCGUGCUUAACACAUGCAAGUCGAACGCUGAAGCUCAGCUUGCUGGGUGGAUGAGUGGCGAACGGGUGAGUAACACGUGAGUAACCUGCCCUCUUCUUUGGGAUAACGCCCGGAAACGGGUGCUAAUACUGGAUAUUCACUGAUUCUCGCAUGGGGGUUGGUGGAAAGGUGUUUUCUGGUGGGGGAUGGGCUCGCGGCCUAUCAGCUUGUUGGUGGGGUGAUGGCCUACCAAGGCUUUGACGGGUAGCCGGCCUGAGAGGGUGACCGGUCACAUUGGGACUGGGAUACGGCCCAGACUCCUACGGGAGGCAGCAGUGGGGAAUAUUGCACAAUGGGCGAAAGCCUGAUGCAGCGACGCCGCGUGAGGGAUGGAGGCCUUCGGGUUGUAAACCUCUUUCGCUCAUGGUCAAGCCGCAGCUUGGGGUUGUGGUGAGGGUUGUGGGUAAAGAAGCGCCGGCUAACUACGUG
rnacentral:rRNA from 1 species